rnacentral:rRNA from 1 species
GAUGAACGCUGGCGGCGUGCCUAAUACAUGCAAGUAGAACGCUGAAGGAAGGAGCUUGCUCUUUCCGGAUGAGUUGCGAACGGGUGAGUAACGCGUAGGUAACCUGCCUGGUAGCGGGGGAUAACUAUUGGAAACGAUAGCUAAUACCGCAUAACAGUAGAUGUUGCAUGAUAUCUACUUAAAAGGUGCAAUUGCACCACUACCAGAUGGACCUGCGUUGUAUUAGCUAGUUGGUGAGGUAACGGCUCACCAAGGCGACGAUACAUAGCCGACCUGAGAGGGUGAUCGGCCACACUGGGACUGAGACACGGCCCAGACUCCUACGGGAGGCAGCAGUAGGGAAACUUCGGCAAUAGACGGAAGUCUGAACGAGCAACGCCGCGUGAGUGAAGAAGGGUUUCGAAUCGUAAAGGUCUGUUGUAAGAGAAGAACGAGUGUGAGAGUGGAAAGUUCACGCUGUGACGGUAUCUUACCAGAAAGGGACGGCUAACUACGUG